AUUGAACGCUGGCGGCAGGCCUAACACAUGCAAGUCGAGCGGGUGAAGCGAUCUGGCUCCUGGAUUCAGCGGCGGACGGGUGAGUAAUGCCUAGGAAUCUGCCUGGUAGUGGGUGAUAACGUCCGGAAACGGGCGCUAAUACCUCAUACGUCCUGAGGGAGAAAGUGGGUGAUCUUCGGACCUCACGCUAUCAGAUGAGCCUAGGUCGGAUUAGCUAUUUGGUGGGUUAAAGGCCUACCAAGGCGACGAUCCGUAACUGGUGUGAGGGGAUGAUCAGUCACACCGGAACUGAGACACGGUCCAGACUCCUACGGGAGGCAGCGGUGGGGAAUAUUGGACAAUGGGAGAAAGGCUGAUCCAGCCAUGCCGCGUGUGUGAAGAAGGUAUUCGGAUUGUAAAGCACUUUAAGUUGGGAGGAAGGGCAGUAAGUUAAUACCUUGCUGUUUUGACGUUACCAACAGAAUAAGCACCGGCUAACUUCGUG
rnacentral:rRNA from 1 species